UACGGAGGGGGCUAGCGUUGUUCGGAAUUACUGGGCGUAAAGCGCACGUAGGCGGCUUUGUAAGUUAGAGGUGAAAGCCCGGAGCUCAACUCCGGAAUUGCCUUUAAGACUGCAUCGCUAGAAUUGUGGAGAGGUAAGUGGAAUUCCGAGUGUAGAGGUGAAAUUCGUAGAUAUUCGGAAGAACACCAGUGGCGAAGGCGACUUACUGGACACAUAUUGACGCUGAGGCGCGAAAGCGUGGGGAGCAAACAGG
rnacentral:rRNA from 1 species